rnacentral:rRNA from 1 species
CCUACGGGAGGCAGCAGUAAGGAAUAUUGGUCAAUGGAGGAAACUCUGAACCAGCCAUGCCGCGUGCAGGAUGACUGCCCUAUGGGUUGUAAACUGCUUUUAUACGGGAAGAAACCCCGCUACGUGUAGCGGGUUGACGGUACUGUAAGAAUAAGGACCGGCUAACUUCGUGCCAGCAGCCGCGGUAAUACGAAGGGUCCAAGCGUUAUCCGGAUUUAUUGGGUUUAAAGGGUGCGUAGGCGGCUUUUUAAGUCAGUGGUGAAAGCCUGAUGCUCAACAUCAGAACUGCCAUUGAUACUGAAGAGCUUGAGUACAGUUGAGGUUGGCGGAAUGUGUCAUGUAGCGGUGAAAUGCUUAGAUAUGACACAGAACACCGAUUGCGAAGGCAGCUAGCUAAGCUGUAACUGACGCUGAUGCACGAAAGCGUGGGGAGCAAACAGGAUUAGAUACCCUGGUAGUCCACGCCCUAAACGUUGAUAACUCGCUGUUGGCGAUAUACUGCCAGCGGCCAAGCGAAAGCAUUAAGUUAUCCACCUGGGAAGUACGGUCGCAAGAUUGAAACUCAAAUGAAUUGACGGNGNGAGAGNGCGACGGACGACGACGAGGGAGGAGG